rnacentral:rRNA from 1 species
GACGAACGCUGGCGGCGUGCUUAACACAUGCAAGUCGAACGGAAAGGCCUGCUUUCCCUUGUGGAUUGCGGGUACUCGAGUGGCGAACGGGUGAGUAACACGUGAGUGAUCUGCCCCCAACUUGGGUAUAAGCCUGGGAAACUGGGUCUAAUUCCCGAUAGGACUGCAGGGUGGUGCCUGUGGUGGAAAACGAUUUUCUAGUGGUUGGGGAUGAGCUCGCGGCCUAUCAGCUUGUUGGUGGGGUAAUGGCCUACCAAGGCGGCGACGGGUAGCCGGCCUGAGAGGGUCGACGGCCACAUUGGGACUGAGAUACGGCCCAGACGCCUACGGGAGGCAGGAGUGGGGAAUAUUGCACAAUGGGCGGGAGCCUGAUGCAGCGACGCCGCGUGGGGGAUGUCGGCCUUCGGGUUGUAAACUCCUUUCGACCGCGAGGAAGCCACCUGGUUGGAAGGGUGGUGACGGUAGUGGUAGAAGAAGCACCGGCUAACUACGUG